rnacentral:lncRNA from 1 species
CGUGAAAUCCUUUUUUUGGAAUGUGGCAGAAUAGAGUACGAAAUGUAAAGACUUAACGCAGUAGCCUUCUUUUACAGUUUUAGCAUACUCUGUUUACAGAAGACCUGGUUUUUUUGUUUUUUUGUUUUUUUUACUGUAAAAUAAGUUUAUUAGUAGUAAGGUGAUAGAAUUUAUUCCCGAUAUCUGAUGUUACAACCUUUAGGGUCCUUGAGAUAUGCAGGAUCCUUGUAUGUAACUGACAUAAACCCCAUUAUUUGAGCUCUCUUAAUUGCUUUCGUGAUUUCUUUCUGUUUCUUCCCACAAAGACCAGGUCCUCGUUGCUGGAUACCUGUUUAUAUUGUGAACAACCUCUUCUCCAAAGCACCGUGUGAGUCCCGGAAUGUGUAAGGCUGACAGCAGCCGUUACCAGGUGUGUCAACUUCUUCCUCCCUAGACCACCGCAAACAGCAACCAUAGCGGCCGUGGUUCCGCAUUUCUUCCACUUCCUUUCAUCCCAAAUCCAGGACCUGGUUUUUAAAGGAUCACUUCCUUCCCAAGUGAGGCUUCAAGCUCCUUGGCAUCAGUUGGUUUUGAUUCAGAGCAAAGUCAUUUUAGUAAAGGACAGUUUGCUACAUGGAUUUUAGAUUAAAAUCGAGGAGAUGAAUUUUGUGCAGCAGGUAUGUAAAAUACAAAAAUGUAUUCUCCAUGAUGUGGUUCCAGUUUUCUGGAAAUAUCAAAAAAAAAUUUUUUUUUUUUUUGAGGUGGAGUUUUGCUCUUGUUGUCCAGGCUGGAGUGCAAUGGCAUGAUCUCGGCUCACGACAACCUCUGCCUCCCA